rnacentral:rRNA from 1 species
UACGGGGGGGGGUAAGCGUUGUUCGGAAUUACUGGGCGUAAAGGGCUCGUAGGCGGCCAACUAAGUCGGACGUGAAAUCCCUCAGCUUAACUGGGGAACUGCGUCCGAUACUGGAUGGCUUGGAUUUGGGAGAGGGAUGCGGAAUUCCAGGUGUAGCGGUGAAAUGCGUAGAUAUCUGGAGGAACACCGGUGGCGAAGGCGGCAUCCUGGACCAAUAUUGACGCUGAGGAGCGAAAAGCCAGGGGGAGCAAACGGGG